UACGGAGGGUGCAAGCGUUAUCCGGAUUUACUGGGUUUAAAGGGUGCGUAGGUGGGUCUGUAAGUCAGUGGUGAAAUCUCCGAGCUUAACUCGGAAACUGCCAUUGAUACUAUAGGUCUUGAAUUAUCUGGAGGUGAGCGGAAUAUGUCAUGUAGCGGUGAAAUGCUUAGAUAUGACAUAGAACGCCAAUUGCGAAGGCAGCUCACUACGGAUUUAUUGACACUGAGGCACGAAAGCGUGGGGAUCAAACAGG
rnacentral:rRNA from 1 species